rfam:Gossypium arboreum cultivar AKA8401 contig_46628_1, whole genome shotgun sequence.
AUCCCAUGAUGAGGACACUUACAAAGUAAAAACUUGAAUCACUCUCAAGCAUCAUACAAAGACUCGUCAUCCAAUUGUUGGAAAGUUAUGAUCUCAUUUCUCAACUU